rnacentral:rRNA from 1 species
UGCAGUCGAACGGCAGCCGGGCUUCUGCCUGGUGGCGAGUGGCGAACGGGUGAGUAAUGCAUCGGAACGUGCCCAUGUCGUGGGGGAUAACGUANCGAAAGCUACGCUAAUACCGCAUACGCCCUGAGGGGGAAAGCGGGGGAUUCUUCGGAACCUCGCGCGAUUGGAGCGGCCGAUGUCGGAUUAGCUAGUUGGUGAGGUAAAGGCUCACCUAGGCGACGAUCCGUAGCGGGUCUGAGAGGAUGAUCCGCCACACUGGGACUGAGACACGGCCCAGACUCCUACGGGAGGCAGCAGUGGGGAAUUUUGGACAAUGGGGGCAACCCUGAUCCAGCCAUGCCGCGUGAGUGAA